rnacentral:rRNA from 1 species
AACCGAGAACUCCUACGGGAGGCAGCAGUGGGGAAUAUUGCACAAUGGGCGAAAGCCUGAUGCAGCGACGCCGCGUGGGGGAUGAAGGCCUUCGGGUUGUAAACUCCUUUCGCUAGGGACGAAGAGUUACAUUGACGGUACCUGGAGAGGAAGCACCGGCUAACUACGUGCCAGCAGCCGCGGUAAUACGUAGGGUGCGAGCGUUGUCCGGAAUUACUGGGCGUAAAGAGCUCGUAGGUGGUUUGUCGCGUCGUCUGUGAAAUCCCGGGGCUUAACUCCGGGCGUGCAGGCGAUACGGGCAUAACUUGAGUGCUGUAGGGGAGACUGGAAUUCCUGGUGUAGCGGUGAAAUGCGCAGAUAUCAGGAGGAACACCAAUGGCGAAGGCAGGUCUCUGGGCAGUAACUGACGCUGAGGAGCGAAAGCAUGGGUAGCGAACAGGAUUAGAAACCCUAGUAGUCCGACUGAGA